rnacentral:sRNA from 1 species
AAAUGAGGGAGAUUUAGGCUGCACUUAAAAUGAGUCUAGGCAGGGACAGCCAAGUCACCUUCCAGGGAAGAGUCUCCCCCAGGAGUGAGACCCCGUGGCUUCUGUUGUGUGGUUGGCUGUGCAGCAUCGUGAUGAGAAGGCACAGGGGCCGCGGAACUGUCUAAAGAGGGGACUCCCAGCUUCAAGGACUGUUUUAUGUGACAGCCCUGCCAGGGAGGCCUGGGGACAUCAUCACAGCCCCCACCCUCAGACAACACCCAUGAGUCAGCAGAGCCUGUUGGCCUGACUCCUGAGUGCCGUGCAGCCCCUGGGAGAAGUCACUGACACGGCUGAGUAACGGUUCCUCGGCCCUCGGCUGGCUCUGCCAUUUCACAGCAAGGGACGGUUGAUGAUGAAGCGCCGGCCGUGUAAAUGAAGAUCGGGUGAGCAGCAGGACGAUGCCCAAGGGUGGGUGCCCUAAAGCACCACAGCAGGAAGAGCUUCCCCUCAGCAGCGACAUGGUGGAGAAGCAGACUGGGAAAAAGGAUAAAGAUAAAGUUUCUCUAACCAAGACCCCAAAACUGGAGCGUGGCGAUGGCGGGAAGGAGGUGAGGGAGCGAGCCAGCAAGCGGAAGCUGCCCUUCACUGCGGGCGCCAAUGGGGAGCAGAAGGACUCGGACACAGGACCGCCGGGGUCCUGCUUGUCCCGGGGCAGCCACGAGGGAGCCCUCGUCAGGAGCGCCAUGGGCCGAAGCUGCCUGCCCUCUGCACGUGGAUGUUUCUUUGGAACAAGGGGAAAAAUGAUGAUUUUCUUACUUUGCUUUGACCUGUGAAUGACACCCUGGUGUCUGGUGCCUGGGGUGUGCUCUCUGCAGUGCUGCCGGGCACAUGCUGGUUCCUUCAGCGUUAGGUGCUUGGCACCUUCAGUCUUUUCCUGACGUCAUGUUUGUUCCUGGUGCCUCAGAUAGGAGACGGCUGCUCUGACGGCUCCUGCUUCCCCAUUCCUGGAGGGAAGACAGACUUAGCCACUGGUAUCUGUGGGACUUCUUGGAACUCUGAAUGCCAGACCUUGCCCAGUGCUAGAGGCGACACGUGUGUGAAGUUGAAGAGGCUUCUCCCACCCGCUCCGCUGCAGUGGACCCGAGCGGGCAGAGAGAGCAGAGUGCAGCAGGGGCCAGGCUGUGCCCGCAGGCGGGGCAGGUGCCUGGAGAGCAUGGUGCCCCUGGGAGCCUCUGGCCAGGAAGGGCAUGUGCACUGCAGUGUGCCGUGGACCAGUGGCCUCAGCUCAGUGUGUUGACGAGGGUCCCAAGGCACUCGUGUGUGGGGAUGUUAGCAACACACGGCGGGAAGCCCUGAUGCAGUUUCUCACCAAGCAUGUAGCAGACCCCACGCACCCGACACAGGUCAGGCACCCCACACAGGGCACAGACCGCACGCACCCCACACAGGGCAGGCACCCCACACAGGGCACAGACCGCACGCACCCCACACAGGGCACAGACCGCACGCACCCCACACAGGGCACAGACCCCACGCACCCCACACAGGGCAGGCACCCCACCAGGCACAGACCCCACGCACCCCACACAGGGCACAGACCCCACGCACCCCACACAGGGCAGGCACCCCACACAGGGCACAGACCCCACGCACCCCACACAGGGCAGGCACCCCACACAGGCACAGACCCCACGCACCCCACACAGGGCACAGACCCCACGCACCCCACACAGGGCACAGACCCCACGCACCCCACACAGGGCAGGCACCCCACACAGGGCACAGACCCCACGCACCCCACACAGGGCACAGACCCCACGCACCCCACACAGGGCACAGACCCCACGCACCCCACACAGGGCAGGCACCCCACACAGGGCACAGACCCCACGCACCCCACACAGGGCACAGACCCCACGCACCCCACACAGGGCACAGACCCCACGUACCCCACACAGGGCACAGACCCCACACACCCCACACAGGGCACAGACCCCACGCACCCCACACAGGGCAGGCACCCCACAAAGGGCACAGACCCCACGCACCCCACACAGGGCAGGGAUCCCACGCAGGGCACAGAUCCCACGCAGGGCAGGGCCAGCCCAAGGCCAGGCCCCUCCCCUGUAGAUCUCCUCCCAGGCAGGACCAGAGCCACAGUCACUUCCACACCAUCUCCUUCCCUAGAAACCUCUGCAGACUAUUCCUCCUCUCCUCGCUACACAGGGGCCCCUGCCGCAGCCUGACUCUCUGCCACCUCGUGAGUCUCCGGAAAGCAGGGUCGGCCUCUGAAUACAGAGGACUUGGGUCCUGCCGGAGGAUGCUUGGCCAGUGGGUGCUGGCACGUGAGCAGCCCCCGGGGAGUCAGAGUGGGGCUGCAGCGAAGGCCGUGGUGGUCGAGGUGAGGGUGGUGGCCAGGUCUUGUUGCCGUAGUGAGGAUUCUGGGGUUACCCUAAGAGCCACCACGUUCAGGCACUCAAGAAAAAGCACGUCAAAAUAAAAUAUUUUCACAUG